rnacentral:tRNA from 1 species
GCGACAUUAGCUCAGUUGUGCUCGUAGAAAAAAACGAUACCCUCUUUUUUGCCAAGGUAUAGGUCAUCGGUUGUUUGUUUCGAACCCGGUAUGUCGUU